rnacentral:lncRNA from 1 species
CUCGUCCGCUCGUUGUAAAAGGAUCUAAGAUCAUCCGAGCCGUGAUCCUUCCUCUAAACUCAGGACUCGCCGCACGGUCGUAAACACUUGAAAGUAGGAAACACAACAAUUACACAUCUCUGUGAUUGAUGGUUACAGCGUGUCCUCCAUUUUUAAAGUGCUCCCAUGUGGACGAUUCAUUAUUUGAAAGUGAACAUCCACUUAACACCCGUGUACGGUGUUUAAAGCAGCGUUUAAGAGCUCUACUCCUGCAUCCAUCAAACCUUCAGUGGGUGUAGUGACACGCUUUCAAUUAAAAACACAACAAAAACAACAGAUUUUAACUCUGAUCAUGUACUUUUAAUAGGUAUUACAUGAAAUGAUUACAGUAUCAACACAUUUCCCUUUAAUUCCUCUCCUCAGUGUCAGAAUUUUCACAUUAAAAGCACGGAGACGACGUCUUUCUCAGGGACUCAUUAAUAAUGCAUUAUCACUCAGCAAACUAUAGGGACGUGUAAUGUACCUUGACGGCUUUUAAAGCUUAUUUAAGUGUUAAAUAUUUAAGAUUUGUAGCCUCCUAACAUAAGGCUGUGUCACCGAACUGACAUACAUCUCGUUUAAAGCGCCGUGCCCUUGUGAGGCGACGCUAGCCGCGCUGACAGAGCUCGCUUUGCAGUCUGCUCCAGCAUCUGCCAGCGCGUUUGAUGGCACAUCAGAGGACACAGUAAACAUUGACUGAAACAUCUAUCUUCCCGGCAACCUGUUUUUUUUUUUUCUUUUUUAUGGAUUUAUCCGGGUUUAGAUGCUGCCUGUCAUAAAUAUAAAAGUGCUGUGAUCAUUAGCAGAGUGUCAGGUGAGGGUGGCACACGAGAUUGCCGCUGUAUUUGGAUAUUUUGAACCGUGAUUGCUGCAGCUACUCCAGGAGAAAGAGGCCCAUUAGCUGGAAAUUAACUCCCACUUUGAUUAUGAUGACACAUACAGGUUUAGAUACAGCGAUAUAAAUACUUCAAACACAAUUACCAGAGAACGUUUCAGGGUUUAUCUUCAACCUCUUGGCCAUCUGUGCUGUGAUUUUAUAUCCGUCAUCUCACCUUCAAACAGGUACAGGCGUCCAUUGUUCAAAUCCGACUGUGGUAGUUUAUUCUGAAAGUUCUGAUUGAUUUAUAGUUAAAGUUUAGACUUUUAGGCAAAGAUAAAGUAAUUAAAAACUUUACUGGAGGUGAAAUUCUCUCCUCAGCUGUCUGAUAAUCAAAAUGAAUCCAAUACAAAAGGUGCAAAGUGUUAAUAAGUUUAAGAUUUAACGAUCAAAACAACCGAUUCAGAGAAAUCCUCAUGUUUAAAACACUGAUAUCUGAUAACUAUUGUUUACAUGUAAGAGUUUGAUUAAUUUCACUUAAUAUUUGAAGGUCUGAAAAAGAGAUAAAAGGUCGUAAGAGAUCUUAACUUUAGUGGGAUUUCAUUCGAAUGUAAGAAAUUUUAAAAAAAUAGAAACGAGAUUUACGGAUCUUGAUUAUAAUUUCAUUCGGCUUAUGCGGAGGUGCUUUAUCCUCAUACUCUGACAGUCAGAUCACUAUUAAGAAUUUUUCCCUCACCUAAAAAACUUUGUGGCGCAAUAAAAACUACACAGGCUGCAGAUAACUUCUUGUAAAAUAUUCCAAUGAAGAAUAAACAAAUACAAAUACGAACAGGACUAGAAUAAGUUUAAGGACAUGAUAAAAAUGUGAACGCAAAAUCGCGCUCACCCUAUUCACAACUUUCAAUCUUCACAUUCUCAUCGACGUUCAAACAGCUGACUCGUUACAUCUCUAAAAAAUAAUCCGACUUGAAGACAGGAAGUCUGGGGAGUUAAAGUCAGGAGGUUUCAGGGAAUCUUCAUGCUGAUUGGCCGUAAGGGUUUCAUAACGGUAUGAAGCGCAGCGAGUUCGUGAAUUUCAUGUCAUCUUCUUGUAAGACUUUGCAACUAGAACAAAGAUCUUUUUGCAUCUUUACAUUGACUUAACGUGUAAUACUCCUACUUACAUAACUUUAUUUACAUCUGAUUUGAAUACAGCUCAGACUGCUCGGCUAUCCUCGUCCUGGUAUGAGGCGAAAACAGAAUCAACCUUCUCUGUGAACUCGGGCUUUGUUCACAGCUGAAAUCACUUUUUCUUUCAAGAGUCUUUCUGUCAUUAUUUUUGAUUCGUUUUAGUGUUAUACUUAAUUGGAUGGUGUAGCAAUAAUAGCCAUAAAACUGUUUUAGAUAGGUGACCAUAUGUCCUCUUCUCCAUGUCCUCUUUUUUGGUGGCUGCCCGGCCUUGUCCGGGAGAGUUAAUAAAAUCCUUCAAAUGUCCGGGGUUUCGUAUGGAAGUUUUGAGUUUGUGUCGCAUGAACUAACUGAGUUAGAAGUGCGUAAGAAAAACUCUCAAAAUUAACUACGCAUGACUCAGUAACUCCGCCCCGCGUAGUCGUGUCCUCUUUGGGGAUUCAGAAUAUGGUCACCCUAUUUUUAGAGGACUUUUUUUUUGUACUUUGUGGUGAUCACGACAAAGUAAUUAAAACUUUUGCAAUCAAAUCAGCAUUUUUUGUUUUCAGCCGACGUCACGUUAGCAUUGUCACCUUAAGUUGUAAGGUUAGGAGGUGCCGAAUUCACCUGCUCACUCAAAAGUGUUAAAAACACUUUUUAUGCCUCGAAAAGUUCAGUCCUUCUAAAAUGUCACCCCUGCUCUCCAGGAUUCGUACUCCGAAGCACCAAAAGUUCCCAUCUCCAGCUGCUAAUUACAGAAGUGAACUUUGGUUGAAUGUAAAACGAACAUCAUUGGAACCAUGAAAACAUUUUUCAGUCUCUGACCUCAUUCAGUCAUCCUUUAAAACAGAUAUAUCUUAACAUGCACCAGUUCACUCAUUCCAGGUUAUCUUCAGGGAUUUUGUGAUCUAACUGCUUCGCCGUCUCUCCGCUGUAGAUUUCCACUGUCCUCAACCUUUUGGUUGGACGGAGUGGAUUCGUGAUAAAUGUUGCUGUAAAACCCCAAAACACAAGAAGAGCAAAGAUGAAGGAUAAAAAGAUCUCAAAUUUCCUGCACAAACCACAAAACGUCAAAACUGAAUGUGAUGAUGGAGUCCACUCGCCGUAAAGGUCUGAAAGUCAAACUGGGAGCACGCCAACAUGCUGGUGCACAGUGUGGCUCCAACACCCUAAUGGACCAGACACCCUCAGGCUGAACGGGGGUGUGAACACUGCACAGCAUUCAUAUGUGUGCAGGAACUAAAUGGGUUUAGCCUCCGUUGGCCCACAUCUGUAACUAUAACAGAGCGGUUUUGUCUUUUCCCGGCGGGUAUUAAACGCCACGAUGACAUCAGGGAGACCACCAGUGAGUGUUUAGUGUUUAUUGAGUGACCGGAUGUCAUUACCAGCUUCUAUCGGGGGGUUAUAUUUUAUAAAAACACAGUCAGAGAACCCUUAAAUGUUAAAAUCCAUGUCUCUUAUACAAACACAGUUUUUUAAAACCAGAAACACAAUCAUUUCCCUCAAAGGCAAAGAGCCGCAGAUGCAUUCGAGAUCAAUUCCUCGCCGAUCUCUCAAAAGAGAAAUCAACAUAUACACGGAGAAAUGUGAGAGAGAGUGUGUGUAAGGGGUUUCUGCCUCAGUAGAUACGGGUCAAGAGGUCAUCCAGCCCCAGAAAACUGUAUAAUUUUACAUCCUAAUGUUGUCAUAACUGUUUUUCAGAUCUACUGUAAAUGGGGAGAGUGUGCUGACAGGUCAGACCGGUGACUCACGCCACGUUUACCCACAGAUUCCUGCCUGGAGACUUCACCAAGGUCAGGCAGCCCUUCACUUUGCAUGCAUGCAUUAAUCUAAUUUGUUUCAAGUAAACCCGACACUGACUCUCCUGCAGUUUUCUUUUAUCAAACCGUCCUGGAAGAUGCAAAAAGAGAGAGUCUAACAUGUUUCCAACAACAUCUGUGGAUCUGGACCCAGAUUUUCGUUGCUGUUUCCAUCAACUGCAGUUAAUAUGUCGCUCUCUUCGUAUUCACUCGCCCCUCUUUGUUUUGUUCUGCUGUCACUUUGUAAUAAGUCACCAAGAUCGCCACUGUACCCUUUCAUUUCUGCAUUUGUCCGGCGUCUGUGUGAUUCAGCCGUGCUUUUUUCAUGCAGUAAUUAUAAGACAAACACAUCGUUAUUAUAAAAUAAUGACAGUAUUGAUUCAUUUGUCUUUGACAGGCAGCUCUCAGGAAUUAUUUUCAUUGAAAAUACAAAAAUAUAGAUUUUCUCGUGGACUAAAGAAAAUGGUGGUGUAGAUAUAUAUCAGUCUAGAACUCCCACAUGACAUCAACUGUGAAACAAAUAAUUAAAAAUGUAAACUGAAGCAGAUUAGAUUUGCUUUAUCUCAGAAUAAAUACAGAGAUAAAACUGGUACGCUGCUGCUGCCAUUGAUCCAAGCAAAUGUCUGUCAAAAUGCAAAGAGCUCCACAGUCACAGCUUAUACAGUCAUUGAUUAGCCCAGACAGGAAAUACAUAACUAAAUAAAAGUAUGAUCCAUUUAAAAAUAAAACUUCAUUUCAGCCCAACAUCGUACAACAAAACAAGAAUAAAAAACACACAAUCAAAGGACAGUUUUAUCGCUCUAACCAACCGUAUCAUCGCUCUCCUCAGAUAAAGCAUACAUUUAAAAAUAACUCCGUUUUACCGUCUUUACAAAGUUUGUCUACUUUUCUUCUUACUCUUUAAAAAUCAGCAGAUAAAUAAUUCCUUGUUGCCUUUUUUUUGCACAAACUUGUUCAGAUCCCAGUUUUUCCUGUGUGCCUUUACGCAGGGCCGUGUUUGGGGUGUUUGACUGGGGUGCCACAUCAUAGGUUGGGGUGGGGGCAGGUUAUCUAUUAUUAACAAGAACCCACUUUUUAUUCCUUAUUUAAUUAAAACACGAUCAUUUAAGUGUCAGACAGAUGAUAUAUUAUCAUAAAUACAUGCACAUUAGCCAGUCUAAUCAAGUAAUAAUGCUGCGUUCCAGUUACCUCAGAAGUCGGAUGUCAGAGCUGGAAAUGACGUUACGCCCCAGUUGACGGUAUUCCAGUAAACAAAUCGGAAAGCCAAGAUGGACGCCUACAGUUACCCAUUGUUAGCUGUUGUUUACAAUUGUCAGCUGUUGUUAGCGGUUGUCAGUCGUUGUUCGCAGUUGUCACCUGACGUUAGCCGUUAUCAGCGAUUGUUAGCUGUUGUUUACAAAUGUCAGCUGUUGUUAGCAGUUAUCAGUUGUUGUUAGCUGUUGUCAAUUGUUGUUAUCUGUUGUCAUUAUUUGUUAGCAGCUGUCUGCUGAUGUUAGCUCUUAUCAGCGAAUGCUAGCUGAUGUUUACAAUUGUCAGUUGUUGUUAGCCGUUGUCAGUUGUUGUUAGCCGUUGUCAGCGAUUGUUAGCUGUUGUUCACAAUUGUCCGCUGUUUUUAGUUUUUGUUGGCUAUACCAGUUGUAACAACGCAUAACGCAGUAUUUUACUCUUACAAACACCACAGCACCGUGUUCACAGUUAGAUGUUGGGCAGUACGACAUAAACCACUUAUUUAAUUUCACAAAAAUAAAACAGAAGUGCUAAUAAAUAAAACAUUACGAGAGCUUUUAUUGUUAUUCUUUACUGUUGAUGCACUGUGCUGCCAUCUUGGAUUAUGACGUCGUCAAUUUGGGGUUGGUGAGGAUCGUCUAUCGAAUCGGAAAUCCGACUUUUUGGGGGCGUUGCAGAUGAAUUUCCGACUCGGAGCUCGGAAAUUCGGACUUCCAAGCACAACUGGAACGCAGCAUUACCCAAAAAUGUAAAUUUGGAUUGUCACAGCAGUCGUGUCAUAAACAUCGAGCACCUCUGAGUCAAAUCAGAUGAUUUGAUGCAUUUUUAACACAGAUAUAAGAAAAAAAUGAGUGAAGGCCAGAUUUGUUGUGUUAAAUAUUUAGAAAACAGAAAUAUGAACAGAAGACUGAAGAGAGCUGCAGAUAAAGACACGAGUGUCGUUAUUUAAACCUUCAAUUACACCUGUUUAUAAAAUAUAUAAUUACAGUAGAGGAGAGGAAACUGUCUACCAUCUGCUAAUAAUGUUUUAAACUAACCAGGCGUCUCAUCUGAGAAUGAAACGACUCGCAAACUCGGAGUAUGAUCGUUUUUAUCAGCUGCAGCCCACACAGGCUUCGAUCUGUGACCGUGAAGUGGUUUGGAAAGAUCGUGACCUUCAUCACACACUCGUGUUCACCUGCGGAGCUGAACUCUGACUUUCUGUUGCAUCAUCUCCGUCGGCUCAUUUUGUGUUUUUCUUUUUUAUUUCAUCUUAGCCUCUCUUAUCUUCUUACUUAAAAGGAUCCUUUAUUUCAACCUGAAAGAGACAAAAAAAGAAGAAAGCCAGAUGAAACAGACCUGACUGAUCCCGUCCUGAUGAAUGGUAAUAGACACAUUAUGCUCUCAGAUGACAGUUGUGAACAAACACAAUGGCGCUCCGUAAUUAUGAGGAAAACCUUGAUCCUGUAAUUCUUGAGUUAAUGGCGCGGCACUACUCUCGAUUUUAUUCUCUCUCUGCUGUGUUUGUAACGUCGCCUGAAACCAAAAAAGGAGGCAGAUGUACGGCAUCACAACCUUGAUCCCUCACCCUAAAAACGCACCUCCGACACCCAAUUGCAUAAAACGUGUGAGCGAUAAAACCCGAUGAGUCCUGCAGCCCUUCUGCUGGUCUGGCGUAGGAAAACGAGGAUUUUAGGAGGAGUAGAUGAUGCAGAGAACAUAACAGGAUUGGUCUGUCAGAGUCCCAACGCUGCACCAUGAAUCUGACGAGGAGGUGGUGGAUAUGGAGAGAAUAGGAGAAAGUGGGAAGUGAGGUGGAAUUGAUGGUGUAAAAAUGUAUGAUGGGGUGAGCGUAAAACGGGGCAGAAAGAAAACGUGGCUGUCAUGGGUCACGAGCGGGGGAAAUGAAGUCGUAACACCGUCGCAUACGGCCGUAACCAGGGCUGGAGGAGUCCUCCGUUAAAAACCGCUCUUUAUCGUCCUUCUCUCAGGAUUGUGGGGAAUAUUUGUCAUUUUCUGCAUCAGAACCUGGACAUAUUUC